rnacentral:rRNA from 1 species
GACAGAGGGUGCAAACGUUGUUCGGAAUUACUGGGCGGAAAGCGCGUGUAGGCGGCUAAGUAAGUCGGGCGUGAAAUCCCACGGCUCAACCGUGGAAGUGCACUCGAAACUGCAUAGCUAGAGUCCUGGAGAGGAAGGUGGAAUGCUUGGUGUAGAGGUGAAAUUCGUAGAUAUCAAGCGGAACACCGGUGGCGAAGGCGGCCUUCUGGACAGUGACUGACGCUGAGACGCGAAAGCGUGGGGAGCAAACAGG